GGGGGGACGCUGGAUCUUGAGCUGUGUCUCCCAGCGCCCUGGGCUCCGGAGCCUGCACCAGUGAAAUCACACUCCCGGGCCGAGUAGCCCCCU
rnacentral:pre_miRNA from 1 species